rnacentral:rRNA from 1 species
CUCCUCUGAUUUCAGAGGUAGGCCCUGCUCAAAGAAUAAUAAAUAGCCGCAGUAUUUUGACUGUGCUAAGGUAGCAUAAUAACUUGUCUUAUAAUAGAAGGCUGGAAUGAAAGGGUUGUCGACAUUUAAGCUAUUUAGUAAAAAGUUGGAAAUUGAUAUUUUCGUUAAAAAGCGAAAAUUUUUAAAGGGACGAUAAGACCCUAUAAAGCUUUACUGAAACUUUUAGUAAAAAGACUAGAAACAAAUAAAAAUUUUCUCAGUUAAGUUGGGGCGACAUCUAAAAUUCACUAGAAAAAAUAACAGAAAUUUCUGAAAAUUCAAGAUCUUUGUGAGAGAUAGAAUAAGCUACUUUAGGGAUAACAGCACAAUUUUUUCAUAAAGAUCUUAUAGAAGAAAAAGACUUGUGACCUCGAUGUUGAAUUUGAAGAGCUUUUUCUAAGCAGAAAUAGAAAAAAGGAGUCUGUUCGACUUUUAAUUCUUC